CUUUUCUGCAGGCUCACUUCAUAAAAGAUAGACGAUGCAAUACUGCAAGGGCAGUUUUUGCAUUGGAAUCGGAAUACAAGUGGGCUCUGAGUGGGACACCAUUGCAAAAUCGUGUUGGAGAACUUUACUCGCUGAUUCGCUUCUUGCAAAUCUUUCCCUACUCGAACUACUUCUGCAAGGACUGUGACUGUCAGAUACUAGAUACCAAGUAAGA